GGGGGGACGGAGAAGGCUAUGUUGGCCGGGCGACGGUUGUCCCGGUUUAAGCGUGUAGGUGUGUGUUCCAGGUAAAUCCGGUUCACUUUAACACUGAGGCGUGACGACGAGGCACUACGGUGCUGAAGCAACAAAUGCCCUGCUUCCAGGAAAAGCCUCUAAGCAUCAGGUAACAUCAAAUCGUACCCCAAACCGACACAGGUGGUCAGGUAGAGAAUACCAAGGCGCUUGAGAGAACUCGGGUGAAGGAACUAGGCAAAAUGGUGCCGUAACUUCGGGAGAAGGCACGCUGACACGUAGGUGAAGUGAUUUACUCAUGGAGCUGAAGUCAGUCGAAGAUACCAGCUGGCUGCAACUGUUUAUUAAAAACACAGCACUGUGCAAACACGAAAGUGGACGUAUACGGUGUGACGCCUGCCCGGUGCCGGAAGGUUAAUUGAUGGGGUCAGCGCAAGCGAAGCUCCUGAUCGAAGCCCCGGUAAACGGCGGCCGUAACUAUAACGGUCCUAAGGUAGCGAAAUUCCUUGUCGGGUAAGUUCCGACCUGCACGAAUGGCGUAAUGAUGGCCAGGCUGUCUCCACCCGAGACUCAGUGAAAUUGAACUCGCUGUGAAGAUGCAGUGUACCCGCGGCAAGACGGAAAGACCCCGUGAACCUUUACUAUAGCUUGACACUGAACAUUGAGCCUUGAUGUGUAGGAUAGGUGGGAGGCUUUGAAGUGUGGACGCCAGUCUGCAUGGAGCCGACCUUGAAAUACCACCCUUUAAUGUUUGAUGUUCUAACGUGGACCCGUUACCCGGGUUGCGGACAGUGUCUGGUGGGUAGUUUGACUGGGGCGGUCUCCUCCUAAAGAGUAACGGAGGAGCACGAAGGUUGGCUAAUCCUGGUCGGACAUCAGGAGGUUAGUGCAAUGGCAUAAGCCAGCUUGACUGCGAGCGUGACGGCGCGAGCAGGUGCGAAAGCAGGUCAUAGUGAUCCGGUGGUUCUGAAUGGAAGGGCCAUCGCUCAACGGAUAAAAGGUACUCCGGGGAUAACAGGCUGAUACCGCCCAAGAGUUCAUAUCGACGGCGGUGUUUGGCACCUCGAUGUCGGCUCAUCACAUCCUGGGGCUGAAGUAGGUCCCAAGGGUAUGGCUGUUCGCCAUUUAAAGUGGUACGCGAGCUGGGUUUAGAACGUCGUGAGACAGUUCGGUCCCUAUCUGCCGUGGGCGCUGGAGAACUGAGGGGGGCUGCUCCUAGUACGAGAGGACCGGAGUGGACGCAUCACUGGUGUUCGGGUUGUCAUGCCAAUGGCACUGCCCGGUAGCUAAAUGCGGAAGAGAUAAGUGCUGAAAGCAUCUAAGCACGAAACUUGCCCCGAGAUGAGUUCUCCCUGAGACUUAGAGUCUCCUGAAGGAACGUUGAAGACGACGACGUUGAUAGGCCGGGUGUGUAAGCGCAGCGAUGCGUUGAGCUAACCGGUACUAAUGAACCGUGAGGCUUAACCUUACAACGCCGAAGAUGUUUUGGCGGAUGAGA
rnacentral:rRNA from 1 species